CGAACGAGAACGGAUUAUAGCUUGCUAUAAUUGUCAGCUAAGUGGCGCACGGGUGAGUAAUAUAUAGGUAACAUGCCCUAGAGAGGGGGAUAACAGAUGGAAACGUCUGCUAACACCCCAUAUGCCUUUAAGACCUAAGUCUGCAAGGGAAACAUUUAUGGCUCUAGGAUUGGCCUGUACGGUAUCAGUUAGUUGGUGAGGUAAUGGCUCACCAAGACAAUGACACCUAACUGGUUUGAGAGGAUGAUCAGUCACACUGGAACUGAGACACGGUCCAGACUCCUACGGGAGGCAGCAGUGGGGAAUAUUGCACAAUGGACGAAAGUCUGAUGCAGCAACGCCGCGUGGAGGAUGACACAUUUCGGUGCGUAAACUCCUUUUAUAUAGGAAGAUAAUGACGGUACUAUAUGAAUAAGCACCGGCUAACUCCGUGCCAGCAGCCGCGGUAAUACGGAGGGUGCAAGCGUUACUCGGAAUUACUGGGCGUAAAGAGCGUGUAGGCGGGUAAAUAAGUUGGAAGUGAAAUCCUAUGGCUCAACCAUA
rnacentral:rRNA from 1 species